AUCAAUGCAGGCCUACAGUAACCUAUAGGUGGGGUUCAAUGCAGGCCUACAGUAACCUAUAGGUGGGGUUCAAUGCAGGCCUACAGUAACCUAUAGGUGGGGUUCAAUGCAGGCCUACAGUAACCUAUAGGUGGGGUUCAAUGCAGGCCUACAGUAACCUAUAGGUGGGGAUCAAUGCAGGCCUACAGUAACCUAUAGGUGGGGAUCAAUGCAGGCCUACAGUAACCUAUAGGUGGGGUUCAAUGCAGGCCUACAGUAACCUAUAGGUGGGGAUCAAUGCAGGCCUACAGUAACCUAUAGGUAGGGAUCAAUGCAGGCCUACAGUAACCUAUAGGUGGGGAUCAAUGCAGGCCUACAGUAACCUAUAGGUGGGGAUCAAUGCAGGCCUACAGUAACCUAUAGGUGGGGAUCAAUGCAGGCCUACAGUAACCUAUAGGUGGGGAUCAAUGCAGGCCUACAGUAAC